GAUGAACGCUGGCGGCGUGCCUAAUACAUGCAAGUCGAGCGAACAGACGAGGAGCUUGCUCCUCUGACGUUAGCGGCGGACGGGUGAGUAACACGUGGAUAACCUACCUAUAAGACUGGGAUAACUUCGGGAAACCGGAGCUAAUACCGGAUAAUAUAUUGAACCGCAUGGUUCAAUAGUGAAAGACGGUUUUGCUGUCACUUAUAGAUGGAUCCGCGCCGCAUUAGCUAGUUGGUAAGGUAACGUCUUACCAAGGCAACGAUGCGUAGCCGACCUGAGAGGGUGAUCGGCCACACUGGAACUGAGACACGGUCCAGACUCCUACGGGAGGCAGCAGUAGGGAAUCUUCCGAAAUGGGCGAAAGCCUGACGGAGCAACGCCGCGUGAGUGAUGAAGGUCUUCGGAUCGUAAAACUCUGUUAUUAGGGAAGAACAAAUGUGUAAGUAACUAUGCACGUCUUGACGGUACCUAAUCAGAAAGCCACGGCUAACUACGUG
rnacentral:rRNA from 1 species